AUGGGCUCUGUAGCUUUGAUGAUGCUGCUGACAGCUGCAUCUGGUGUGUUCUGCAUUGACCUCAUCCAGCCAGAUUCAAAAGUUGUGCAGCCUGGACAGUCUUUGACCAUCACCUGUCAGGUCUCUGGUUACUCUCUGUAUGAUGGUUAUGGAACAGGUUGGAUCAGACAGCGUGAAGGAAAGUCAAUGGACUUUAUAUUUUACAUGUGGGCAAGUGGUGGCACACUUUAUCAAAAUGAUGCUUUGCAGAACAAAUUCAGCUUCAGCAGAGACAUGUCUGCAGGAACAGUGACAAUAACAGGACAGAAUCUGCAGCCUGAGGACACAGCUGUUUAUUACUGUCCACCCAGGGUCAGUCCCUCACCUCCUCUGAGCCAGUGGUCCAGAGAGCAGGACAAUCAACCACCCUGUCCUGUACAGUACAAGGAAUCUCUCUUGCAUGGCUGCACUGGAUUCGUCAAAGACCAGGAAAAGGACUAG